AAGGAGCCCACCACGUAGAUCUGAUAAUCCUGAUGCUUGGGACUUCCAUUCAUAUGGUAAGAAUGGGCAAUCAGGAUCUAGGAGAGGUAUUGGUGGUGGUCCCAUGGAUGCUAGGUCAUCUAAACUAGAAAACGAGAUAGAUCAGGUUGGCACAAGGAGAGGAUGGGCCAAAGGAGCAGGACCUGUUAGGUUUGGCGAGGGACCUUCUGCUAGAAGUAUCUGGCAAGCUUCAAAGGAUGAAGCAACUUUGGAGGCAAUCCGUGUGGCUGGUGAUGACAAUGGAACUGCUCGAGGUACUAGAGUAGCUAUUCCAGAAUUAGAGGCUGAAGCACUAACAGAUGACAAUAACAUGCAAG
rnacentral:misc_RNA from 1 species